CCCAAGGAACAGAAAGAAAGAAUGAAAGAAAAGAGUUUAUGGGGCAAAGACAAGCAGGAAACAAGUCAAGUUCUUCUGCCAAGCCAAUAAAGAGCAAGCACAAGGUCAAGGUCAAAGGUCAAGCAUGUUAAAGCGCCCAACCAGAUGAAGACCAAGGACUCUCCCCCCCGGGGGUCCUCGCGCCAUGACGACGGCGACCGCCAGGGCCGGAGGAGACGCUCCCGGAGCCGCAGCUACGAGAGACGGCGCUCGCCGAGCCGCGGCCACGGAGACGCCCGCGGCCAUGAGCGGCGCCCGCGCAGGUCCAACAGCCCCCGAGAGUCUCGCUCCGCUGGCCGCAACAGACACAGCCCGCCCCCUGACCAGGAGAGGUACAGAGGCCCCCCCCGGGACCACCACAGACCCCCCCAGGGCCCCGGCUCCCGGAGCCGCUCUGCUUCCCGCUCCCCCGCCAGACAGCGGCCCAAGGCCCGCAAGAGUCCGUCCCGCUCGGCCACUCCGCUGCAGGACUUCCACCCCUCCUCCGGGGGGCGCCAGAAGCAGAGCUCCCGGCGCUCCUACUCCCGCUCCCUGUCUCGCUCCCGCUCGCGCUCCCGGUCCUGGGCGGGGCGCGAGGCAGACGCCCGCUGACCCCCCAGUGUUUUUAGCCGUGUCUGUUGGCAGGGGGCCAGGUCGCUAG
rnacentral:lncRNA from 1 species